UUAAAGCGUGAUCGCGAUCGCGCGCUCGACAGCACAUCCACAUCUAUAUAUUUUUACAUCUAUAUGUAUGUAUAUAUAUCUCAAUAUAUGGUCCGGAUGGGGAAUGGGGGAUGAGGGAUGAUACGCUAAUCGUGGCACUUUUCUGGGGAGCUGCGCCCACAGAGAGCUUUCUCGCGGUUUGGGUUGGAAAAGCGGGUAAGCAGGUUGAGAAGGGCCAGAGGGAUCCUCCGUCAUAUUCCCAUCAACGCGCUGGUCAUGUUAUUCCAUUAGUCCAUUAGGCAAUCCACAGUCACCAAGUAGCACGAAGCCACUUCAGCGAGUUAAGCUCAAAAUUUGUCACUAAUUUCAAUUCUGCGACGCUUUUGUUUCACUUUUUUUCCCCCAAAUGGACAAUAGAAUAAAUUGGUUACAUGGAUCCACAAGCUAACACUAUCCAUUGUUGUGGAUAGACUUUGUUUUUCUUUCCAAAUCGCCCAAUUUCGAUCGUUAUCUAUUCGGUACUCGCCCCUCUACGGCCACCACUGCGUAUGCGCAACCAAUUUGGCGGGUGUUUGCGUUUGGAUUAAAUCUUAUCGCACACUUUUCAACUCGGCUCGGCUUGUUUUUCAAUUAUCUGCAUAUUCUAUUUACUUUACAUUAAUAUGAUUAUUUUACAGAGGUCUAUUCAGCCAUAUCCCCCCACUGGCCUACCUCACGUGCAGCUUAUAGUCAUUUGCUUCCGCCUUUUUUCAUUCCGCUCGCCGUUUUGCAAAAUGGCAAAAUGGCAAAAUGGAAAUGGGAAUGGAAAUGAAAAUGGGAAUGUACAAUAUCUGGAUAGAAUUUGAUUUAAGCUCCCGCGAUGACAGCCCACUUCAAGGUCGGGGAAGUCUUUAAAGGAAAAGAAUAAAAAACCUACCACCACAAGACUCGGAUACGCUCUGCAAAAAAAAACAUAAACAACUGUAGUUUCGCGAAAAAAUUUAAAUAUUUACCCAAAAGUCGGGAGAUUAGUAUAAUCUUGAUAAUCUGAAUCUCAGGAAGUAACCGUUUCUAUCACUACUGACGUACAUAUUUGCAACGAAAAUAUAUUUUGGAGAGUUCAAGCAACUUUUCAAGAUGUUUAUUUCUUUAGGUAUUUCUGGACUGGUAACACGCGUGGCUAAGGAUUUUCUUUUAUUUUGUUUUGGAAGCACCUGUUUACCAUUAUAAUUCCGGAUUUAUUGUGUGUAUUAUACGAUAAUAAAGUAAACUGACUGCGUGGCUUGUCAAAGAUCUUGAACUCCGGUUUAUGAUUAGCUCAAGAGGGAUUGGGUGAGAUUUUGGGAACAGUCAUAAGGUAAAGCUGUACGCCUGUUAUAAUUUAUCUUGAUAGAAAACAUGUAGGUUCUAUCAAAAUUAAUCCCUCAAUUAGCACCUGAUGUUGUGAUUUUUCGCAAAUCGAAUCAGAAAUCGAGAGCGUGAUUAAGUUUCCACGAAAAUUGACAUAUUAACAAGAUUU